rnacentral:rRNA from 1 species
GCCCCAGUAACGGCGAGUGAAGCGGCAAGAGCUCAAAUUUGAAAUCUGGCCUCCCCCGGGGGCCCGAGUUGUAAUUUGCAGAGGAUGUUUCGGGUGCGGCCGCCGUCUAAGUUCCUUGGAACAGGACGUCAGAGAGGGUGAGAAUCCCGUCUUGGGCGGGCGGUCCGCGCCCGUGUGAAGCUCCUUCGACGAGUCGAGUUGUUUGGGAAUGCAGCUCUAAGCGGGUGGUAAAUUUCAUCUAAAGCUAAAUAUUGGCCGGAGACCGAUAGCGCACAAGUAGAGUGAUCGAAAGGUUAAAAGCACCUUGAAAAGGGAGUUAAACAGCACGUGAAAUUGUUGAAAGGGAAGCGCUUGCGGCCAGACUCGGGGGCGGGGUUCAGCGGGUGCUCGUCGCCCGUGUAUUCCUCGUUUCCCGGGCCAGCAUCAGUUUCGACGGCCGGUCAAAGGCCCCCGGAAUGUGUCGUCUCUCGGGACGUCUUAUAGCCGGGGGUGCAAUGCGGCCCGUCGGGACUGAGGAACGCGCUCCGGCUCGGAUGCUGGCGUAAUGGCCGUAAGCGGCCCGUCUUGAAACACGGACCAAGGAGUCUAACAUCCACGCGAGUGUUCGGGUGUCAAACCCGUGCGCGCAGUGAAAGCGAACGGAGGUGGGAGCCCUAGGGCGCACCAUCGACCGAUCCUGAAGUCUUCGGAUGGAUUUGAGUAGGAGCGUGGCCGUUGGGACCCGAAAGAUGGUGAACUAUGCCUGAAUAGGGUGAAGCCAGAGGAAACUCUGGUGGAGGCUCGCAGCGGUUCUGACGUGCAAAUCGAUCGUCGAAUUUGGGCAUAGGGGCGAAAGACUAAUCGAACCAUCUAGUAGCUGGUUCCUGC